AUUUAUUUGAUAAUAGCAUAAUUAUAUUAACUUUCUAUAUAUUAAAAACAAAUAAAUAGGAGUGCUUUCUGUGUCGUUCACAACAUCCAGGGUGCUGGAGAGAUAUAGUUCGGUCGGCACCCGUACUUCGGUCCUUUUUCCAGCCUCCUGUUCAACAUGCUCCACCGAUACCUCUGGAUCCCACUGCACAAACCUGCAGAAGUCACACACACCCAUGGCACCUCGGAUCUACACUCCUGAGGGGAGCUUGCUGGCGGAUCAUGCUCCCCGCAGCGAGCACAGCAGACUAAGAAGAGACGGAACUGCGGUCGUGCCAAGAAGGGCCGUGGGCAUGUGCAGCCCAUACGCUGCACAAACUAUGCUCGCUGUGUGCCCAAGGUCAUCAAAAAGUUUGUCGUCAGGAACAUCGUGGAGGCUGCUGCUGUCAGGGAUUUCUGAGGCUAGCGUGUUUGAAUCUCUACAUGAAACUGCACUACUGCAUGAGCUGUGCCAUCCACAGUAAGGUGGUCAGGAACCACUUCACAGAGGCCAGGAAGGACUGUACACCACCACCCCGCUUCAGGUCCAGUGGUGGCCCACCCAGAGCUCCUCCAAAGCCCAUGUAAAACAGAUUGAUUUUAAUCUAUUUUUCACUUGCAAAACAUUUAAAUAGAUCUUUAUAAAUA